UACAGAGGGUGCAAGCGUUGUUCGGAAUUACUGGGCGUAAAGCGCGUGUAGGUGGCGAUGUAAGUCGGGUGUGAAAUCCCUCGGCUCAACCGAGGAGGUGCACUCGAUACUGUGUCGCUUGAGUGUUGGAGGGGAUGGCGGAAUUCCAGGUGUAGCGGUGAAAUGCGUAGAUAUCUGGAGGAACACCGGUGGCGAAGGCGGCAUCCUGGACCAACACUGACACUGAGGAGCGAAAGCCAGGGGAGCAAACGGG
rnacentral:rRNA from 1 species